AUUUGUACUUAUUUCUGUUGAGACAUUUGAUACUUUAUGUCACUUUCAAAAGAACAGCUACCUUUGAAUAUAGUUCUUUACCUUGUGAGAUGCCAAUCUUUCUCGGGCCAAUCUGAAGUUUGGAAAGGGUGAAAGUAGCCCUGUAAAUUAUAGUCUUCUGCCUUACCUCAACUUUUGAGCCUUCUCCUGGGACUAGUCAGAGAAAUAGGUAGUUGUGAUUCUUAUGAUAACUCACAAAUUGGUUGGACUCUAUUGUCAGAUAAGCACUUCUACACAGGAAAUUUAUGAACGGGUCCGAUCCUGCCUUUAUUCAUUUAUAUUGCCCUUCUAUUCACUUUAGCAAAAAUAAAAGUAUCAAGACAAUUUUAUAGCAACACCAUACCUAUCCAGAGUUAGAUAAUCGAAAAACCUUAUUUCUUUGCAACACAAUUAAGAACCAGGUAGAGAAUGCAAAUGGCCUCUGACCAGUCAAGAGAGAUGCCAGAAAGUUUGUGUACUCAAAGUUCAUCCAAAUCUAGUGACCUGAAGAAAAGAGCUUUAGGUCUUCACUUAGAGUCUGCUUGAACCACAUUCUAACUGCCUUAGUAUGCGAUGUCCAAGUACCCAACAGAAUAGGAACAGCCAGUUAGAAGGGAAGGGAGGAAUUGCUUUAGGUUGUUACAGACAACCUUGGGAGGGAAUAAGUUUUCAGUCAUUGGAGAAAUAGCAAAGCAGAAGCUUAAUGACCAUUUGUUUAGAAUGUUGUAAUUUCAUGUAAUUUCAUGCUUUCAUACUGAAUGACCUCUGAGGUCCUUUACAACUCUAUAAUUCACAAUGUCACUCCCAUAUGUUCCUUCCCCUCUUCUCACAAAGUCACUAUCCUGGCCCUCAUCACUUUGUAUCUGCACUAUUACAAUAAGCCUUUUAAUUGGUCUCUCUGUUUCAGCUGCCUUCACACUCCAAAUCAUACCACCAAAUUGACUUUUCUAAAUCACAGUGAAAGUAUGGAUUCUAGACAGUUGUGUGACAUGAAAUGCCUGAUGCUUUUUAGGUGUCAGAGGGAAAAGAUCCUUGUUCACAGAAUCAUCAGUGAAGAGCUGGAAGAGAUAAUGAAGAUCCUUCAAUCUAACUUCCUUAUCAUACAGAUGAAGAAACUGAGGCCAACAGAGCUUAUGUAACUUGUCCAACAUCUCAAAGGUAGGAAAACUGAGAUCUAACCUAAUGUCUUCUGAUUCCAUUUUCAACACUCUUUCUUCUAUAUGUAUGCCUUAAAUUACCUUCUUUCUCAGAGGCUUGAGGAAAGGAUGAGUGAGAAAGGGAGUAUUUAUCAGUGACUAUCCUUAGAAGGGACAAUGAGGUUCCUUAGUGCAUACAGUACUGGCCCUGGAAAGAGGAAGACAUCUUCCUGAGUUCAGAUAUGGACUCAGACACUUUCUAGUUGUGUGACCCUGGGCAAAUCAUUCAACCCUUUUUUCACUCAGUUUUCUCACCUGUAAAAUGAACCGGAGAAGGAAAUGGCAAACAUCUCCAGUAUCUUUACAAAAAAAAAACAACAACAAAACAACCCAAACCCAAUUGGGGUCUCAAAACAUUGGACACAACAGAAACAGCUAAACAACAAUAACUCUUAUGAGAUUCUUUGCCUAAAUCCUGAAUAUAACAGGGUCAGAUCUAGAAUACAAUGCUCUAUACUUUUUCCUCCCAGUCCCAAGGCUUAAUGUUUGGUCUUAAUGUUUUCUGGACUUUAAAGGGUACAUUUUACCCAUUUAUACAUUUCUAAUACAUUUCUUUUUCCUUAUUAUCUCUUUGGGGUACAAACCCAGCAGUUCUAUGGCUGGAUAAAAGGGCACAGAGUCUUUUAGCACCCUUUGGGCAAAGUUCCAAAUUGCCCUCCAGAAUGGUUGGAUCAAUUCACAACUUCACCAGCAAUGCAUUAAUGUUCCAACUUUGCCACAUCCCCUCCAGCAUUCAUUACUUUCCAUUGCUGUCAUGUUAGCCAAUCUGCUAGGUGUGAGGUGAUACCUCAGAGUUGUUUUGAUUUGCAUUUCUCUGAUUAUAAGAGAUUUAGAACAUUUUUUAUGUGCCUAUUAAUAGUUUUGAUUUCUUUAAUUGAAAAUUGCCUAUUCAUGUUCCUUGCCCAUUUUUGGACAAUGGCUUGAUUUUUUGUACAAUUGGUUG
ensembl:lncRNA